GCAAGAUGAAGUCACAGACCCAGGUCCUCAUAUCCCUGCUGCUAUGGCUGUCUGGUGCCUGUGCAGAUAUUGUGAUGACUCAGUCUCCAUCCUCCAUGGCUGUGUCAGCAGGAGAGAAGGUCUCUAUCAGCUGCAGGUCCAGUCAGAGUCUUUAUCACAGCAGUAGCAAAAAGAACUUAUUGUCCUGGUACCAGCAGAAACCAGGACAGUCUCCUAAGCUGCUGAUCUACUAUGCGUCCACUCGGUACACUGGGGUCCCUGAUCCCUUCACAGGCAGUGGAUCUGGGACAGAUUUCACUCUCAGCAUCAGCAGUGUGCAGGAUGAAGACCUGGCAACUUAUUACUGUCUGCAAGGUAUUAGUACUCCUCCCACAGUGCUUCAGCCUCCAACACAAACCUCCAUGAGAAUCAUCUUUACAGACAGCUUUUCAAGGCCCAAAGAAACAGCCUCCAGUCCAGCUCUCAGAGAUGAGGUCAGCUGCUCUCCUGCUGUGGGGACUGCUGCUGUGGGUGUCAGGUACCAGUGGGGACAUCAUAAUGACCCACUUUCCAUCUUCCCUGGCUAUGUCAGCAGGAGAGAAGGUCACCACCAGUUGAAAGUCCAGUCUGAGUCUUUUAAGCAUCAGAAACCAAAAGAACUACUUGGCCUGGUACCAGCAGAAACCAGGGCAAUCCCCUAA